CAAUAAGCGGAGGAAAAGAAACCNACAGGGAUUGCCUCAGUAACGGCGAGUGAAGCGGCAACAGCUCAAAUUUGAAAUCUGGCUCCCUUCGGGGGCCCGAGUUGUAAUUUGGAGAGGAUGCUUUGGGCGCGGCGCCUUCCGAGUUCCUUGGAACAGGACGCCAGAGAGGGUGAGAGCCCCGUACGGUUGGACGCCUAGCCCGUGUAAAGCUCCUUCGACGAGUCGAGUAGUUUGGGAAUGCUGCUCAAAAUGGGAGGUAAAUUUCUUCUAAAGCUAAAUACUGGCCAGAGACCGAUAGCGCACAAGUAGAGUGAUCGAAAGAUGAAAAGCACUUUGAAAAGAGGGUUAAACAGCACGUGAAAUUGUUGAAAGGGAAGCGCCUGUGGCCAGACUUGCUGCCCGCGGUUCACCUGGCGCCUCCGCGCCAGGGCACGCCGCGGGUGCGCAGGCCAGCAUCGGCUUCCCCAGGGGGACAAAGGCCGCGGGAACGUAGCUCCUCCGGGAGUGUUAUAGCCCGCGGUGCCAUGCCUCUGGGGGGGCCGAGG
rnacentral:rRNA from 1 species